rnacentral:rRNA from 1 species
UGACUCACGCGGGAAUCUUACCGGGUCCGGACACAUUGAGGAUUGACAGAUAUAUUCACUUUUUAUUGGGAAAGAUGCUAGUUCUUUCAUGAUUAUGUGAUAGGUGGUGCAUGGCCGUUCUUAGUUCGUGGAGUGAUCUGUCUGCUUAAUUGCGUUUCACUUAAAAAUAUAUUUUAUUCACCCAGUGAAUAAUUUAUAAAAUA